CAGCUCUCUAUUUUUUUUUUUUAAACCUUCCAAUCCCUAGACCCACCUGCACUCACAUUAGGAUACACUGAUACACUGAAAACAAAAUAGUUUAUUCACUAAACUGUGUACUGCAGUGGAUUGAAAACCAAAUUGUUACAUAUGGCAAAAAUAACCAAACUGUGAUUAGACUUGACUUGGAUUUAUUUCAAAAUCAGCUAUUUUAGCUAAAAUGUUACAAUUUGGUGUUCCCUAUGGUGUAUACUUCAUUCUGUAGAGUUGCAAGAAAAUCAAAUAUAGGAUUUUUAAAAAUCCUGAAAGGGUGUCCAAACCUGACAUUUCACUGGCAGAGAAUUCUGGGAAAUAUAGUCCACCAAUAGUUGGAAGCCAAUGUUGGACAUCCUUGGCACUAUUAAUAUUUCUCAUCAAAAACGAUAUUGUGAAUUUAGGCCCAUAUUCCCUAACUCACCUUCUGCUGCUAUCAUCAGUA